UACGUAGGGUCCGAGCGUUGUCCGGAAUUACUGGGCGUAAAGAGCUCGUAGGUGGUUUGUCGCGUUGUUCGUGAAAACUCACAGCUUAACUGUGGGCGUGCGGGCGAUACGGGCAGACUGGAGUACUGCAGGGGAGACUGGAAUUCCUGGUGUAGCGGUGGAAUGCGCAGAUAUCAGGAGGAACACCGGUGGCGAAGGCGGGUCGCUGGGCAGUAACUGACGCUGAGGAGCGAAAGCGUGGGGAGCGAACAGG
rnacentral:rRNA from 1 species